GGGAGAGAAGCUGCCAAAAAAGCACAUGGUUAACCAGAAGCUAAGCCAUUCAGUGAAGCAAAUACCACAUGUCAGGAACAAAAGAAGAAAAAGUUCAACCCUUUUGCACAGAUUUUUUUCAUCAAAGCCACGCUCACUUAAAAUAUAAACUGGCUGAUUUACUGGAGCAUCUACAGCUGUUUCCCUUAUUUUAACAAAAUGAGUGAACCCUGCUGUUGUUCUUUUUAAUCCUGAUUUGUUUUGUCCUUACUUGGGAAGCUGUAUUUCUACCAUUAAAAAUACACCUGUGCUCAAGAUGAAAAGGCAAAAAUCAAAGAGUUCUAACUCAGAGCUGGUCUAUUACAGUGGAAGAAAGCAAAGGAGAUACGAGACGGAGUCUGGUUCUGUUGUCCAGGCUAGAGUGCAAUGGUGCAAACUCAGCUCACUGCAACCUCUGCCUCCCAUUGAUUCUCCUGCCUCAGCCUCCCGAGCAGCUGGGAUUACAGCCUAUUUUUCUCUCUCACUCAGUAUGAGUGGAAUUCUAUUUCUGUGUCUUCACGUUUACUGAUUUAUCCUGUCAUCUUCACUCUACCAUUGAGGCAAACCAACC
rnacentral:lncRNA from 13 species